rnacentral:lncRNA from 1 species
AAUCAUGAGUUCACCAAGUAAAGGUGUCUGCCAGCGCAGGUCAGUCGCCAGUCUUAGGGAUCGCAGGGUAGGUGUUUGGUAUGCUCGCCAGUGGGUUUGUGGGACAAAUUGUCAGCUAGGUUCGUGGGUAGGUCGCGAGCUGUGCUCACCAAGUUGUAGCGAAAUAUUAGGUUUUCAAUGGGGGGUUUGCAAGUAGCUAAAACCUAAAUUAUUCUGCUUCAUUUUUUAUGAUGUGUUUAGAAAAACAUGCAAAUAGGUUUAUUUUUAAUGUGAUUUAUUUUGCAUAUGUGUGAUGUGCAUGGUUGAUUAAUCUGUUUUUGGUGUUUUAAUGGUAAGUCAUUUUAGUGGCUAAUGUGAUAUUCGAAAUUCAGGUUAGACUAUCCUGGUGAGGUUUAGGGCGCCACAGAGGUAGUCAAGGCAGAGCACCACCGGAAACGAGAUUUUCUCUCGGCAAGAAUCAAAUGGGUCAAAGUUUAAUUCACUUGCCAAAAUUGGUGAAAGGGAGGAGGAGAAUGGGGGUGAGAUUUUGGGUCCCUUCAUGUUUGGUAAACAAACGGAGCAGGUUUCAGCAUCCAAGGCGGAAGUUUCGAGGAAAAUGAAUGGAGGAAAAUCUAGUGCAGUAGUGACAGAAAAUGGGUCAAUUGGUUUUAAAGUAAGGGAAAGGGUGUUAGGAAAAGCGCAAUGUUUUUCAAAACAAGGAUUCAUAAGCAGACAAAAUAUGGGCUUGGAGAAACUAGGAUAGGCUGUCACACUGCAGGCUAACAAAAGGGUCAGAUACGUUGGGUUCAGGGGAAUCAAAAGUUCUUAAAUAGAAACAAGCAUACUGUGGUGAACCUAAAGGAGAACAAAAACCCAAACAUUUUUUCUGAAAAUACAGGAAACCAGAAUAACAACCUGGAUUUCAAAAAUCUUAUUCCACCCUCUAUUAUCCCAUUUUCAUUGAAAAAAAAGUAAUAACCAAAUAUGCCUUGAAAAUCAGCUUAGGUGAAGGAGCGAUUUUAUCUGUCGAACAAGAAUUUUCAAUUACUAUUCAGCAAGUUGUUUAGGGCAUUGUGAAGCGAAUGGAGGCAGAGGGUCAAAAUAAUGUCUGAUUGGUGGAAAAUCAAGUGGUACUGGUGUUGACCGGUUGGGAAAUGGGUAGCAUUCAGAUGAAAUGAUGGAUUUGGGCCAAAGUGAUGAAAGGGGUACGGUUGGUAUGGAUGAUUCCAUAUAGGAUCGGGUAUGUGCUUCAUAAAUCAGUUUUGUUGAUGCUUUUUUUAUGAAUUCAAGGAUUAUGGUAUGGAACUGUCAGGGUACGGGGCACCCUAACUUUCAUAGGAUUAUUAAGGAGUUUUUGAGAGAGAAUGACCUAGAGAUUGUGGUUCUUGUUGAAAUUAGGGUUAGUGGUUAUAAGGCGGAUAGGGUUAUCAAACAAAAUGGAAUGUCAUUUUCGCAUAGUGUAACAAUCCGUUUUCAGUAGUAUUAGAAAUAGUAGUUUCGGGACCACAAUUUCGGUGAGUGAAUUAUUAUUUAUUAUUUAUUUAAUGUCUACGAGAUUAUAUUAAGGUCGUGUUAAAGUUUUAUUGAGAAAUUUUGAUGUUUAAAUGGUUAAUUCGGUAAAAAUGACUAACUUGUAAAAUGUGAAAAAGUUGAGUUCUAUUAGUUAAAAAGGUCAAAUGGCUAUGAAAUGUCAAAAUAAUGGACUAAGAUAGUAAUUAUACCAUUUAAUGAGUUAGUGGGCAGUUAUGGACAAUGUUUUAUUGAAAAUUUUGAUUAGUAAUAAAGGUAAAAUGGUAAAUAAAAUUAAAAUCAAAUAGGCUAAAAUAUCAUCUUCCUCAUAUUUGUUUCUUUAUAACUGAUUCAUCCAUGGAAGAAUAGCAAGGGUUUUGCUAAGCAUUGUUUUCACUUGCAUGGUAUGUAUUUAAGCCCCGAUUUUAGUGAUUUUUAUGUUUUUGAGUUCAUUUUAGCUUAGUCUAGCUAGCACCGGGUUAAUUUGCAAAAUUUUUAAAAGUUGAAGAACUUGCCAUGGAUGUUUUUUAAUGUGUUUUGAUGUUAGUUGAUAAAUUAUUAACUUUGGUUGUUAAAUAAACAUGUUUUGUUAAGUGAUUUUUUAUGAAAUUGCGUUUAGGGAUUUAUCUGUGAAAAUAGUAAAAUUUCAUGUUAAAAUUAUGAAAUGUUGGUUUAAGUGAGUUGUUAUAAGUCCCUAUGAAAUUUGGCAAGCUGGUGUUCUUCUUCUUACAUCUCUUUUAUCAUCCCUUGUCAUUGCCAGUUACAUCUCGGUAACUAUUGCUUGUACGUUCUUUCAAUGAUGUAGAUUCAUUCUUUCAGUUUUCACAGGGGUAAGUAGUCUAUUUGAGUGGGUAAGUUGGGAUUGGUCUAAUUGUCUUUGUGUUUCUGUUAGGUGAAGAGCGAGUGUCGCAUAACUCUCAUCUAACGAAUUGAGUAUUUAGGUGAACUUGACAUUAAGGGUAAGGACUGUAUGCCUUAGGGACUAAUGUUGUUUCCUUUGACCGAAUACUCUAAAUCGAGUAGGGGCGAAAUGAGUGAUUUGAUUUUGGUGUAUUGUUGCUAAUUGGCUUUGUUUUGGAUGUCGUAUGUAGGAAUUUGAAGUGUGAUGUAGUGUCACUAUUCAGAAAAUCAUCAGGUGUGUGACUCAAACUCGAGAAAACUCUAUGAAACUACAUGAAACUAAAAUUGGCAGUCGGAGCCACACGAGUGUGUGUUUGGCCGUGUAAGCCACAAGGGCGUUUGUCUGGCUGUGUGAGCCACACGAGUGUGUGCUUAGUCGUGUGCCUAGCCAUGUAGGCCACACGGGUUGGACAAGUAAG